rnacentral:rRNA from 1 species
UACGUAGGUGGCAAGCGUUAUCCGGAAUUAUUGGGCGUAAAGCGCUCGCAGGCGGUUUCUUAAGUCUGAUGUGAAAGCCCACGGCUCAACCGUGGAGGGUCAUUGAAAACUGGGAGACUUGAGUGCAGAAGAGGAGAGUGGAAUUCCACGUGUAGCGGUGAAAUGCGUAGAGAUGUGGAGGAACACCAGUGGCGAAGGCGACUCUCUGGUCUGUAACUGACGCUGAGGAGCGAAAGCGUGGGGAGCAAACAGG